UUGAUUACUCAGCUUAAAUUAGUUUUUGGGAUGAUUUCUGUUGUGUUCAAUUGGAAACGAGAUCUAAAAGUGUUCAGAAUGCUAAAACUCACGAUUAAUAUUCGCUUGAAACUUGAAAAAACUCAAAUAAAUCGGGGAAUCCCACUCGAAAACCUUUCAAGUAUCUGGAUUUUCGGUUUCUGAGAAAUAUGGAUCUAGUGAAGGGACAGAUUACCUUUACCUGGCCACCCGAAGAAAUUAAAAGGGUUGAAACUGUCUGAAAAGACCUCUUUCGAUUUUAACUGUCCUCUGAGUUUUUGUGUUUCUCAAAUCAUUGUUGUCCCCAUCAACAUCAGUACUGUUUGUAUUCACGCAAAAUUGGUAAAACUCAGAAUCUUGUUACAACGAUGGUUGUAACAAGUUGCUAAAGGAUGCUCUAAUGAGCAGAACAAAAAUGAGACAAAGAGUUUCCACAGGUUUCCUUUUAAACGCCCAGAUAUUUUGGAACUUUGGAUUACUGCUGUAGGAAGGGAAAAUUGGUAUCCCUCAAAGUAUAGUAGAAUAUGUGAAGAUUACCUUCAUAAUCCAAGUUAUACAA